GACGAACCGUGCGAACGUUGUUCGGAAUCACUGGGCUUAAAGGGCGCGUAGGCGGAUCAGCAAGUCUGGGUUGAAAUCCUUCGGCUUAACCGGAGAACUGGCCUGGAUACUGCUGAUCUCGAGGGAGGUAGGGGCAGCUGGAACUUCCGGUGGAGCGGUGAAAUGCGUUGAUAUCGGAAGGAACGCCGGUGGCGAAAGCGAGCUGCUGGACCUCUUCUGACGCUGAGGCGCGAAAGCCAGGGGAGCAAACGGG
rnacentral:rRNA from 1 species